rnacentral:rRNA from 1 species
UACGGGGGGGGCAAGCGUUGUUCGGAAUUACUGGGCGUAAAGGGCUCGUAGGUGGCCAACUAAGUCAGACGUGAAAUCCCUCAGCUUAACUGGGGAACUGCGUCUGAUACUGGAUGGCUUGAGUUUGGGAGAGGGACGCGGAAUUCCAGGUGUAGCGGUGAAAUGCGUAGAUAUCAGGAGGAACACCGAUGGCGAAGGCAGGUCUCUGGGCAUUAACUGACGCUGAGGAGCGAAAGCGUGGGUAGCAAACAGG